rnacentral:piRNA from 1 species
UGUAAUGGUGAAGACAACCUGGAACUUGGAG